rnacentral:rRNA from 1 species
GAGGAACCACACAAACGUUAUUCGGAAUCACUGGGCUUACAGGGUGCGUAGGCGGUACGGUAAGUGGGGUGUGAAAUCCUACAGCUCAACUGUAGAACUGCGCUCCAAGCUACCGUGCUUGAGGGAGACAGAGGUGAGCGGAACUGAGGGUGGAGCGGUGAAAUGCGUUGAUAUCCUCAGGAACGCCGGUGGCGAAAGCGGCUCACUGGGUCUCUUCUGACGCUGAGGCACGAAAGCUAGGGUAGCGAACGGG